rnacentral:lncRNA from 1 species
UCGACCUCUACCCAGCUGUUGUCAUUAGGGCCAGUACGAGGAUCGCCCCAACAAGAAAGAAAACCCCAAAAAAGUGAAGAAGAAGUAAAGAAAAAUUGAUUCUUCCAUCCAUGAAUGGACGAUGGAAGACCAGUGAUAAAGAAAAGAUCUUUUCGGGGGUUGAAGAACCACCACCCUCGGGCCUUCGAAUGAGGUCGGAGGAUAAAGAA